UGGGGAAUAUUGGACAAUGGGCGCAAGCCUGAUCCAGCCAUGCCGCGUGAGUGAUGAAGGCCCUAGGGUUUUAAAGCUCUUUCACCGGUGAAGAUAAUGACGGUAACCGGAGAAGAAGCCCCGGCUAACUUCGUGCCAGCAGCCGCGGUAAUACGAAGGGGGCUAGCGUUGUUCGGAUUUACUGGGCGUAAAGCGCACGUAGGCGGACUAUUGAGUCAGGGGUGAAAUCCCGGGGCUCAACCCCGGAACUGCCUUUGAUAGUGGUAGUCUUGAGUUCGAGCGAGGUGAGUGGAAUUCCGAGUGUAGAGGUGAAAUUCGUAGAUUAUCGGAGGAAAACAAGUGGCGAAGGCGGCUCACUGGCUCGAUACUGACGCUGAGGUGCGAAAGCGUGGGGAGCAAACAGG
rnacentral:rRNA from 1 species